rnacentral:rRNA from 2 species
GUAAAUUAGAGGUAGCUGGAAUAAGUAGUGUAGCGGUGAAAUGCAUAGAUAUUACUUAGAACACCAAUUGCGAAGGCAGGUUACCAUGAUUUAACUGACGCUGAGGGACGAAAGCGUGGGUAGCGAACAGGAUUAGAUACCCUGGUAGUCCACGCCCGUAAACGAUGCUAACUCGUUUUUGGGGCGCAAGCCUCAGAGACCAAGCGAAAGUGAUAAGUUAGCCACCUGGGGAGUACGUUCGCAAGAAUGAAACUCAAAGGAAUUGACGGGGGCCCGCACAAGCGGUGGAUUAUGUGGUUUAAUUCGAUGAUACGCGAGGAACCUUACCAAGGCUUAAAUGGGAAAUGACAGGCUUAGAAAUAGGCUCUUCUUCGGACAUUUUUCAAGGUGCUGCAUGGUUGUCGUCAGCUCGUGCCGUGAGGUGUUAGGUUAAGUCCUGCAACGAGCGCAACCCCUGUCACUAGUUGCUAACAUUCAGUUGAGGACUCUAGUGAGACUGCCUACGCAAGUAGAGAGGAAGGUGGGGAUGACGUCAAAUCAUCACGGCCCUUACGCCUUGGGCCACACACGUAAUACAAUGGCCGGU